CGGACCCACCAACAAAAACAACACGCUCAAUUGGAACACAGCUUUCAAUUAAGACACUAGGACCUCAUUUCAGAAGUACAGGCACACAGAUAAGGUUUCCCACCAUUGAUGUUGGUGUUGGCACAGCAGCUGUUCUGCCGUUUUUGGCACCAGUAAAGAGACCAAGUAAGAGACGACGCACAGAACUUGAGGAGGAGGGAGAGGAAGAGGAGCCUUUAGAAGCUAGUUCUGUUGACAUCCAGGUGCCACAUGAUUCCACACAUGACCCUGUGGACACCUUGAACGAGUCCGCUCGUGUGACAAAGGAAUCGUCUGUACCUGUUCAUAAGACUCCCACUUACAUUGUGUAUGAGAACUGCCUACUGGAGCUGUUUCAGCUGUGCCCUGUGUGUAAGCGGAACUGUGACGUGCGGUCAAGGAGGUUUGGCACGUUCCUCUCUGUAGAACAGCAGUGUCUGCAUUGUGAGUUCUCCAGAAAGUGGAAUAGCCAGCCUCUUGUUGGUAGCACUCCUGCUGGGAACCUGCAGCUGUCCACUGCAGUGUAUACCACUGGUGCGUCUUUCUUCAAGC